rnacentral:rRNA from 1 species
UACGGAGGGUGCGAGCGUUGUCCGGAAUCACUGGGCGUAAAGGGCGCGUAGGCGGCCCGGCAAGUCAGUGGUGAAAGCCCGAGGCUCAACUUCGGGUCGGCCACUGAUACUGCUAGGCUUGAGUCGACUAGAGGCAGAUGGAAUUCCGGGUGUAGCGGUGAAAUGCGUAGAGAUCAGGAGGAACACCCGUGGCGAAGGCGGCCCUCUGGCUCGACCCUGACGCUGAGGCGCGAAAGCGUGGGGAGCGAACGGG